UGGACGGAUUCACCCGGAAUCAAACAAUGAAGUUGACUAUGGACUUGGUUUUGGUUCUCAGCCUCCUGGUUGUCACUGUGGCCAGUUCCAGUGGGCAGACAUACAUCACUGGUGAUGCUACAUGUGACAAUCAGAUGUCUUUCUAUGCUGAUGGUGUUCUGUACAGUAAUGCUAACGAUAAAGAUUGGCAAAAAUCUUCACCAGUCAGUAUCCCUGGUGAUACCCAAGUUGUUGCUGUAAAAUGUGUAGAUCUGCAUGUGGUUGGUGGAAUCAAGCUGGCAUUAAGUAACGGUAUUAAAACUGACGCAACGUGGAAAUGUUCAGCUACAUAUGAAGAAGGGUGGAAUCUACCUGGAUUUGAUGACGGUGCCUGGGACAAUGCUAUACUUGCAAGUUAUAACUGGGGCUCAAAUCCCCCUUCUCUGAAUGGCAAAGCGGAAUGGAUUUGGACAAGCGGAUAUCGAGGAGAGGAUCUGAUAGUCUAUUGUAGAAGAGUAAUUGUAGUAAAUGGUGGUUGGUCCGAUUGGUCUGAAUGGAGAUCGUAUGGUCCAUGUAAAGCCUGUUGUGGUACUGGUAAAAUACAGCAAUGGAGGUCAAGAACAUGUACUAACCCCGCCCCUGGACCUGGUGGUGCCGGUUGUGUGGGUUCCAGUUAUCAAUUCAGAACAGCAAAUUGUUUCACCGAGGCCUGUAAAGAUCGAUGCCCAGCAAACACAGUAAAAUAUUUCCCUUACCCAGGUGAUAGAAGGCGAUUUUGUCAAUGUGAUAACCAGGUCGCAAGACCAAUGAACUGUGCACCUGGUACAGUCUGGAACCAAAACUACUGGACCUGUGUCCACGACAACUAAAACCAAUGAUUUAAUGAAAAGAAUUAUUCAAUUACGAUUGUUAAUUGUUUAUGUUAAACCUUUUUCUUUGGUGGGUUGGGUGGGGGCAUGGCGUUUGUUUUAUUUGGGUUUUAAGCGCCUUGCGAUACCAAAAAUAGUUUGAGUUUGUAUUCUGAUCCCUGCUUUUGAAUGUUUUUGUUGAUCUAUAAUAAAAAAAAAUGUUAGCAUCUGGUUGUUGAUUGGAUAACCUGGAGCAGCAUUAUUCAUCUGAAUAAAUUUAGUUGAAUUAG